rnacentral:lncRNA from 1 species
GGCAUUAAAGAAACAAAGCAUAUGAGGCUCUACCUAGGUGUGCCUCUAACAGGUAAGAGUCCCAAAGCUGAAGAUUAUUGUAACAUCCCGUAUAAUAUACAUCUAAAAAAUAUAUUACACGAGAUAUUAAUUUGGUACUAAUACAACACAAGUGCCUAGCGGCAUCAUUAUAUACAUGUUCGUAAAAUAAAAUACAAUGUAUGGCACAUGAUAUACAAUAAUGCCUAAAUAAAAUCUAAGAUCUAUAUGUAAUAUCUUCAUUGCACACAAUCCAUAUCGGAAGAUCACAAUAGUCAGAAUCCUUCGAAAUAUCAACAGACAACUUCUCUUGUAUUAACAUGCAAAUAACACCUGAAAAAUAAUAAUAAUAUUGGGUAUGAUGAUAAUCUCAGUGAUUUUCCAUAUCAUAUGGGUCCACUCGAUUCUACAAGGUUUCUAAUCGAUUCCUAACUUAAGUCUUCAUCUUUCGUUACUUGUGUAUCACUCACACAAUGUAACUAAGGCUUAAGUAUCUAAAGGAUAUUCACAAUGUAUGGUACCAUGUUACUAGAUUUCACAUAACUCGAUAAAUUACUAUUCGAAUUCAUAAAACAUCGAUCCCCGACUGGACCUACGUCUAGGGCAAGGCUUGGUUCACACAUGCUCAUAUGAUUCUACUUUCAUAUGGAUAUAGGGUUAUCCAUGGAACUCGAACCCACUUCAAGAACCGUCACUCGUAUGGGACUCGAACCCACUUUAAAUAUCUUUCACUGUAUAGGACUCGAACCCAAUUAGAUGUCCACCUCCCCCCGGGGCUCAACCAUAAUCGGGACUCAAACCCAUUUGAGACACGAAUCAUUGGUGCCACAACCCAUUUUCUAUUUUACAUAAGCAUCUCAAAUGGAAAUUGCAAGAUCAAGGUAAAUUCCAAAUACCUUAUUAGAUUUCUACAUCAUCGUGAUUGAUCUCAUCAAUCACUAGGGUGAUCACAUUCACCAAUUAUCACGUUAUCUUAUCAAAUACUAGGUGAUCAUAUUCACCAAUUCUCAUGUUAUUUCCAUAUGUUUCAUACAAAGCAUAUUGAUUUAUUAAUCAAGUGAAUACUCGUCUGCGAUACACACUAAGGUACCUUUGUGUCCAAACAUUACCACAUAACUCAUUUCCAUAACCUAUAUCAUCUUUCUAAGUUAUUUACCUAGUUAUAAUACUAAGUUUCCUCACUCAUCAUCAUAAGGUUUUAAUUAUUUUAUUACACAAUCAACACAAACAACCAUUCAUAAUAUAGUUUAUAGCAUACAUCAUAAUAUGUUUCAUAAACAUACAUAAAGAACACAUAAUAAUAUAACAUGUUACAAUAACCAUAGGCAAAUCUAUCAUACAACCCGCCUUAAUCUAACGUAUUCCACUUUCACGCCACAUAGUAAGCGUUCGUCUGAUCAUCCUAUGGCGGGGUUAACCGGGAUCAAAGGGAAAGGUAUAGUGGAAUAACUCAUAGAGACUUCUCUCUAUAUUAUAGUCCUCUACUUUAUCUUCCUAACGCAUCCAUUUUCACCUCAUUUCGAGUUACGAAACUCAUUUACCAAGUCAAACCAUCUAAUAGCAUAUGUUUCAAUGUAUAUGUUUUUGGCAAUUAGUUAUACAUGUUAUUAUUCUAAUUUUUGUAUUAAUAGUAUAUUAUAAUAAUGUUUCAUGUCAAUAACAUGCAGUAAGGUGUAAUAUGUGUCAAGUAAGAUGUAUGUGUAUUGUCUGCUCAUACUGUGUCAUAUUGUUGUGGUUGUGGUUGUGGUUAGUAAUACAUUGUAAUAUCGUUACUAUUGUAAUAACUGUAUUGUUGUUAAUUAUUACUUUGUUAUCAGUUGUCACAGAGUGUUUAGCUGAGUCAUCAUAGUGUGAACACGUGAUGUUUUGUGUUUAAAAAAUGUGCAUUAUAAUUGUCUCACUUGACAGUACACUGAUAACGCUAACUAUGGUUUAAAUGAUUAAACUGCUAGAUAUUAUAUGUUAGUUGAUGCAUAAAUCAUGUAAAAAAUUAACAUAUGUAAUAUUCAAUUAUAGAAUCAUUGUAGUGAUGUUACUACAAUGCAUCAUGGAAAACACAUAGUUAAACUUCAUAUGGAAUAAUGGCUUACUAAUCACAUGCAUCACUAUGCUUUCAUACUACAUUAUUAAUUCAAACAUAAUUACAUACAUAUAGCUAAUACAACUUUACAUAGGGCUCAUAAUGGCAAUAGCAUGGCUAUGAUUCUGCAUAACUUAUCAUCUUUCAUCCUUAACAAACACUAAGCCAUUCCCAUUCAUAAACCAACAUCAAAACAAGUGAUUAUGAGUUAUAUCUUCAAGAACAAGACAUAUGUUAUACCAUGUUUCUUCAUAAUUCAUGCAACAUAUAAUCACAAUAGAAACAACAAUCAUAUCAUAGUAUCAACACAUAGAAGCAAAGACAAGUAUGAACAACAAAAAAUUCAUCAGGGACUUAUCACAAGAAUAAAAUAAGACAACAAGGACAUCAUAGAGUAGUAUCAAUUUCAUGGUUUAUGCAAUAACACGCAAACCCUAGGUUUCUCAAGUCAUAGAUUCUUCCCCUAAACUAAAUCUAAUUAGGAACUCACCUUGAGGAGAUGAAGAUGAGGAAAUUGAGAUAAAGUUUGUGAUGAUGAUGAUUGAUGAUGCUCCUUCCAUGAGUUUCUUCUUCUUCUCUUUUCUUCUUUAUCUCUUAUUUCUCUUCUUUACUAACUUUAGCAAAUGACACAAAAU